AUGGGUACCAGGCUCCUCUGCUGGGUGGCCUUCUGUCUCCUGGUGGAAGAACUCAUAGAAGCUGGAGUGGUUCAGUCUCCCAGAUAUAAGAUUAUAGAGAAAAAACAGCCUGUGGCUUUUUGGUGCAAUCCUAUUUCUGGCCACAAUACCCUUUACUGGUACCUGCAGAACUUGGGACAGGGCCCGGAGCUUCUGAUUCGAUAUGAGAAUGAGGAAGCAGUAGACGAUUCACAGUUGCCUAAGGAUCGAUUUUCUGCAGAGAGGCUCAAAGGAGUAGACUCCACUCUCAAGAUCCAGCCUGCAGAGCUUGGGGACUCGGCCGUGUAUCUCUGUGCCAGCAGCUUAGA